rnacentral:rRNA from 1 species
GUAGUCAUAUGCUUGUCUCAAAGAUUAAGCCAUGCAUGUCUAAGUAUAAGCAAUUAUACCGUGAAACUGCGAAUGGCUCAUUAAAUCAGUUAUCGUUUAUUUGAUAGUACCUUACUACAUGGAUAACCGUGGCAAUUCUAGAGCUAAUACAUGCUGAAAACCCCAACUUCGGGAGGGGUGUAUUUAUUAGAUAAAAAACCAACGCCCUUCGGGGCUCCUUGGUGAUUCAUAAUAACUUUACGGAUCGCAUGGCCUUGCGCCGGCGACGGUUCAUUCAAAUUUCUGCCCUAUCAACUUUCGAUGGUAAGGUAUUGGCUUACCAUGGUUUCAACGGGUAACGGGGAAU